rnacentral:rRNA from 1 species
GGUUAAGCGACUAAGCGUACACGGUGGAUGCCCUGGCAGUCAGAGGCGAUGAAGGACGUGCUAAUCUGCGAUAAGCGUCGGUAAGGUGAUAUGAACCGUUAUAACCGGCGAUUUCCGAAUGGGGAAACCCAGUGUGAUUCGUCACACUAUCAUUAACUGAAUCCAUAGGUUAAUGAGGCGAACCGGGGGAACUGAAACAUCUAAGUACCCCGAGGAAAAGAAAUCAACCGAGAUUCCCCCAGUAGCGGCGAGCGAACGGGGAGGAGCCCAGAGCCUGAAUCAGUGUGUGUGUUAGUGGAAGCGUCUGGAAAGGCGCGCGAUACAGGGUGACAGCCCCGUACACAAAAAUGCACAUACUGUGAGCUCGAUGAGUAGGGCGGGACACGUGGUAUCCUGUCUGAAUAUGGGGGGACCAUCCUCCAAGGCUAAAUACUCCUGACUGACCGAUAGUGAACCAGUACCGUGAGGGAAAGGCGAAAAGAACCCCGGCGAGGGGAGUGAAAAAGAACCUGAAACCGUGUACGUACAAGCAGUGGGAGCCUCUUUAUGGGGUGACUGCGUACCUUUUGUAUAAUGGGUCAGCGACUUAUAUUCUGUAGCAAGGUUAACCGAAUAGGGGAGCCGAAGGGAAACCGAGUCUUAACUGGGCGUUAAGUUGCAGGGUAUAGACCCGAAACCCGGUGAUCUAGCCAUGGGCAGGUUGAAGGUUGGGUAACACUAACUGGAGGACCGAACCGACUAAUGUUGAAAAAUUAGCGGAUGACUUGUGGCUGGGGGUGAAAGGCCAAUCAAACCGGGAGAUAGCUGGUUCUCCCCGAAAGCUAUUUAGGUAGCGCCUCGUGAAUUCAUCUCCGGGGGUAGAGCACUGUUUCGGCAAGGGGGUCAUCCCGACUUACCAACCCGAUGCAAACUGCGAAUACCGGAGAAUGUUAUCACGGGAGACACACGGCGGGUGCUAACGUCCGUCGUGAAGAGGGAAACAACCCAGACCGCCAGCUAAGGUCCCAAAGUCAUGGUUAAGUGGGAAACGAUGUGGGAAGGCCCAGACAGCCAGGAUGUUGGCUUAGAAGCAGCCAUCAUUUAAAGAAAGCGUAAUAGCUCACUGGUCGAGUCGGCCUGCGCGGAAGAUGUAACGGGGCUAAACCAUGCACCGAAGCUGCGGCAGCGACGCUUAUGCGUUGUUGGGUAGGGGAGCGUUCUGUAAGCCUGCGAAGGUGUGCUGUGAGGCAUGCUGGAGGUAUCAGAAGUGCGAAUGCUGACAUAAGUAACGAUAAAGCGGGUGAAAAGCCCGCUCGCCGGAAGACCAAGGGUUCCUGUCCAACGUUAAUCGGGGCAGGGUGAGUCGACCCCUAAGGCGAGGCCGAAAGGCGUAGUCGAUGGGAAACAGGUUAAUAUUCCUGUACUUGGUGUUACUGCGAAGGGGGGACGGAGAAGGCUAUGUUGGCCGGGCGACGGUUGUCCCGGUUUAAGCGUGUAGGCUGGUUUUCCAGGCAAAUCCGGAAAAUCAAGGCUGAGGCGUGAUGACGAGGCACUACGGUGCUGAAGCAACAAAUGCCCUGCUUCCAGGAAAAGCCUCUAAGCAUCAGGUAACAUCAAAUCGUACCCCAAACCGACACAGGUGGUCAGGUAGAGAAUACCAAGGCGCUUGAGAGAACUCGGGUGAAGGAACUAGGCAAAAUGGUGCCGUAACUUCGGGAGAAGGCACGCUGAUAUGUAGGUGAAGCGACUUGCUCGUGGAGCUGAAAUCAGUCGAAGAUACCAGCUGGCUGCAACUGUUUAUUAAAAACACAGCACUGUGCAAACACGAAAGUGGACGUAUACGGUGUGACGCCUGCCCGGUGCCGGAAGGUUAAUUGAUGGGGUUAGCGCAAGCGAAGCUCUUGAUCGAAGCCCCGGUAAACGGCGGCCGUAACUAUAACGGUCCUAAGGUAGCGAAAUUCCUUGUCGGGUAAGUUCCGACCUGCACGAAUGGCGUAAUGAUGGCCAGGCUGUCUCCACCCGAGACUCAGUGAAAUUGAACUCGCUGUGAAGAUGCAGUGUACCCGCGGCAAGACGGAAAGACCCCGUGAACCUUUACUAUAGCUUGACACUGAACAUUGAGCCUUGAUGUGUAGGAUAGGUGGGAGGCUUUGAAGUGUGGACGCCAGUCUGCAUGGAGCCG